rnacentral:sRNA from 1 species
GCCGGGCGUGGUGGCUCACGCCUGUAAUCCCAGCACUUUGGGAGGCCGAGGCGGGUGGAUCACCUGAGGUCGGGAGUUCAAGACCAGCCUGACCAACAUGGAGAAACCCCGUCUCUA